UUCAGGGAUGAAUCAUGUGGCAGUGGAAAAUGCGUUCGGGCUAGACCAGCAGUUUGCUGGCCUAGACCUGAACUCUUCAGAUAAUCAGACUGGAGGAAGUACAGCAAGCAAAGGGCGCUAUAUCUCUCCUCAUUUAAGGAACACAGAAGCUACUAAAGGAUUCUAUGACAAAGACAGUUCAGGGUGGAGUUCUAGUCAAGAUAAGGAUGCAUACAGCAGUUUUGGGUCACAGGGUGAUUCGAGAGCGAAGUCUAGCUUCAAUGGAGAUCGUGGAAGUGGAUCAAAGGGAAGGUUUGAUAAUCAUGGACGGGGAGAUUAUGAUGGCAUUGGCAGCCAUGGAGAUAGAAGUGGCAUUGGCAAAUUUAAAAGAGGUGGAAAUAGUCGCUGGUGUGACAAAUCAGAUGAAUAUGACUGGUCAAAUCCACUCCCACCAAGUGAACGCUUGGAACAGGAUCUCUGGCAGCAAUACUUGAAUUAAUUUUGAGAAAUAUGAUGAUAUUCCAGUCGAAGCAACAGGCAACAACUGUCCUCCACACAUUGAAAGUUUCAGUGAUGUCGAGAUGGGAGAAAUUAUUAUGGGAAACAUUGAGCUUAAUUGUUAUACUCACCCAACUCCAGUGCAGAAGCAUGCUAUUCAUAUUAUCAAAGAGUAAAAAGACUUGAUGGCUUGUGCUCAAACAGGCUCUGGAAAAACUGCAACAUUUCUCUUGCCCAUCUUGAGUCAGAUUUAUGCUGAUGGUCCAGGAGAAGCUCUGAGGGCUAUGAAGGAAAAAGGAAGAUAUGGGCUUUGUAAACAGUAUCCAAUCUCCUUGAUACUGGCAACAACGAGAUAAUUGGCAGUACAGAUCUAUGAGGAAGCCAGAAAAUUCUCAUACCAGUCUAGAGUCCGUCCUUACAUGGUUUAUGCCGGUGCUGAAAUUGGUCAGCAGAUUCGAGACUUAGAACGUGGAUGCUACUUGUUAGUAGCUACUCCAGGACGUCUAGUGGGCAUGAUGGAGAGAGGGAAGAUUGAGUUAGACUUCUGCAAAUACCUGGUGUUAGAUGAAGCUGACCGGAUGUUAGAUAUGGGGUUUGAACCUCAGAUACAAAGAAUAGUUGAACAAGACACUAUUCCUCCAAAAGGUGUCCUCCAAACUGUGAUGUUUAGUGUUACUUUUCCUAAGGAAAUACAGAUGCUGGCCCUUGAUUUUUUUAGAUGAGUACAUAUUUCUGGCUGUAGGAAGAGUUAGGUCUACUUCAGAGAACAUCACACAAAAAGUGGUUUGGGUGGAGGAGAUAGACAAAAGGUCAUUUCUGCUUGACCUUCUAAAUGCAACAGGAAAGGAUUCCCUUACUCUAGUGUUUGUGGAGACCAAAAAGGGGGCAGAUUCACUGGAGGAUUUCUUAUACUAUGCUUGUACCAGUAUCCAUGGAGACCAUUUUCAGAGAGAUAGGGAAGAGGCCCUUCACCAGUUCCGCUCAGGAAAAGGCCCAAUUCUAGUGGCUACAGCAGUAGCAGCAAGAGGACUGCAUUCCAAGGUGAUGCAUGUUCUUAAUUUUGACCUGCCUAGUGAUAUCAAAGAAUAUGUGCAUCACAUAAGCUGUACAGGGCAUGUGGGAAACCUUGGUCUUGCCACCUCAUUCUUUAAUGAAAGGAAUAUAAAUAUCACUAAGGGCUUGUUGAAGCAAAACAAGAAGUGACAUCUUGGUUAGAAAGCAUGGCUUUUGAACAUCACUACAAGGGUAGCAGUCGUGGACAUUCUAAGAGCAGUCGAUUUAGUGGAGAGUUUGGUGCCAGAGACUAUCAACAGAGUAGUGGUGCCAGCAGUUCCAGCUUCAGCAGCAGCCAUGCAAGGAGCAGUCAAAAUGGUGGAGGUGGCCAUGGCAGCAGCAGUGGAUUUGGUGGAGGUGGCUACGGAGGCUUUUACAACAGUGAUGGAUAUGGAGGAAAUUAUAACUCCCAGGGGGUUGACUGGUGGGGUAACUGAGCCUGCUUUGUAGUAGGUCACACUGCCAAACAAGCUAAUAUGGAAACCACAUGUAUCUUAGCCAGACUAUACCUUGUGUAGCUUCAAGAACUCGCAGUACAUUACCAGCUAUGAUUCUCCACAGAAUUUUUUUUUUUUUAAGGGAGCUCAAGGUCACAAGC